UUGGAUGAUGUCCUUUAUAGCCAGUAAUAAUAACAUGCUUCUGUAAUUAAAUGAAUAACUCAAUGCUGCCACAUUUCUCAUUUGGCAAGAAGUUGAAGUUUUUUUGGCACCUUCCUUUGAACUUUGGACAAUAGCUGAGAUGGUUCCCAGAUACACAGUAUGUGUCUUUAUUAUACCUUCUCUGACAAAACGGAAUAUUUAGUUACGGCAUUUGCCUAAAUAUGGAACAGUCAGUCUCUUGUUGCUUUGCAUUAAAAUAUAUUCCAGUUGAUACAGUAAAAUGGUACAAGUAUAAUGGAAAUACUUCAUCAAAACUUGACAAAAAUUUGAGGUGUGAUAUGGAGAGUGAAAUGUUCCUAAUUGUGGCUGCCUACUUACGUUUAAGUUUGAACUGUUGAGGUAAACUAAGCAAUUGAUAGUUGUUCGUCUGCACCCACGCUGCACCCUAUUGUAUUAGUGCUCAAUGACCUUCAGUAAACUUGAUUUGACCCUCAGUCAGGUGUAUAGCAGAUUGAUUCAGUUGAUCAGAAGGCAUUGCACAUAAACAACUCUUAAAAUGAUUUUGCUCCGCACUGCUUCAUAAUGCAUGAAACAGGCUGUCUUCAAUUUCAGAGGGAGUUAGGUUAUUAUUUCAUUGAAAAAACCUGUAUAAGUUUUGUAAGUAGAACUAUUUUUCAAACUUUGAGACCAAUGGGCAGUGGAAAUACUCCUAAAAUGUGAUUAACUUUUAAACAUCUACAUUCAUGUGCUUGUGUGAAAUGGUUGGUAUGUAGUAAUCAAAAACAUUUUGGUAUUCACAAGAAAAAAUGUUUGAAUUCUUUGUGAUUCAUUUAAGCUGUAAAGGGGCUUGUGGCCAAUAGCUCUGGAACAAUUAAAGUUAACCAUUCCAGAGUACCCACCUUUUGAAUGCAAUGAUUAAAACACAAGCUCAUACCUAUUUUUCCAGUGAUGUGAUCUCAAGCUUUAAGAAUUUUGGUAAAGGUGCAGAAUGUUCACUAGGUGCACUUCUGUAAUGAAUAUGUUUUGUUCCCCUUUAGUUAGUUAAUGAUAUUACCGGAGGCAUUUUGAGCUGCUAUUCAGCUACAGACGUGAAAGCAAUAUAUACAAUGCUUUAGCUGACCCUCAGGAAGUUCUGAUGUGGAGGUGCUGAUGUUGGACUGGGGUGGACAAGAUCCGAAGUUACACAACACCGGGUUAUAGUCCAACAACAGGUUUAUUUGAAAUUGCAAGCUUUUGGACCGUAGCUCCUUUGUCAGAUGGAGUCAAAGGAGCUGCGCUCUGAAAGCUGGUGAUUUCAAAUAAACCUGUUUGACUGUAGCCUAGAGUCGUGGACCUUCAGGAAGUUCCAAAGUGUUUCACACCCAAUAAAGUACUUUUGGGUGAUAGUUACUGGUCUAAACUAGAAAUAUGCAUCAUGCGUUUUUUGAGAAAUUCUUGAACACUGAAGAUUGCCUCCUCCCAAAUGAAAGUAGCUAAUACAUAUGUAUUCAAAGGGGUACCGUUAGAGUUUUCAUUUAAUGUGAAGUGCAACAAUAACUGUUGUUUUUCACUUGCUUGGAUUUUAAUAAAAUCUCUUCCUUUAUGGUCAAUACUGUUUACUAAUAUACUGUUGGUCUUGAGCCACAGGUGAUGUUUUAUGCAAAGUGUGACAAUCCUCAUUUCAAAAAUUUGGCACAGGUUAUUUAAAUACACAUUAGUUAUUACCGUUUCAUAUGAGCAGCAUUCGUUUCUUAGAGUAGGUUUAUGUUCAAAACGGAAAUGUUAUUUCACUCUCUAUAAACCUUACAGGUUCUGUGACUGUCAUAUGAAAAUUUUAACACUAGAAUGUAUGUCUUGCCAUCAGUUCUUGUUUGAGUCGAUCACCUGCCAUGCCUGGAAUCAGGAUUGAACACAGAUAGCACUUAGCCCCAAAAACUGUGAAGUCCCCACUUAUACGAAACAUGGAAGCCAAUGGGUUGAGAAUCAGGAACUGAAGGAUCAUAAAAGUCAAAUAACAGAUCUGGAGAUCCUUCAACUUAUGGGAACAACCAGCACCUCCUGGAGAACUCAACCGACUGAACCGAUGGGGCCAAACUGCCGAUGCUGGAACAGUGACCGCAAGCCCAGAGAGAUCACACAUUAUCGGCUUCUCAAAGGCCUGACCUACCUGACUCCAUGGAUACCCUCAAGGCAGCAACUAGUGCUCAGGACCCCAGCAGACGCACCCAUGCACCUUCUGGAACAGCAGACCUCCCUCACCAACUCAAGGGACAGAAAUCGAGGAAACGUGGGAGGCUUACUGGCCUGCAGGUGAGAGCAAAAGAACGUGGUUUCAAGUCCCCCUCCCUCCCCACCAUAUUCCUGGAAAAUAUCCAAGGUAUUGAAAACAAACUGGAUGAACUUAUAUCCAGACUUACAGUUCAAAGGGAAUUGAGAUGCUGCUGUGUGCUCUGUUUUACAGAGACAUGGCUCACUCGUGCUACGCCUAAUUGUACCUUACAACCUGAGGGUUUCUCAGUUCACUGGAUGGACCGCUCAACGGCCUUGGGCAAGGGAACGGGUGGUGGGGUCUGCCUCCUAAUCAACAACUCUUGGUGCUGAGGUGUGGUGAACCUGGUGAGUUACUGCUUUCUGCACCUUGAAUAUCUAAUGGUGAAGUGUUGUCCUCCCUACCUGCCACAGGAGUUCACCUCUGCUAUUAUAACAACAGUUUACAUUCCACCUGAUGCAGAAGUGAAGAAUGCACUUCAUGAAAUAUGCAUCACUACAAAUAGCCUUGAGAUGGAAUACCCCAAGGCCUUGAUCAUUGUUGCCGGUGACUUCAAACAGGCCAGUCUCUCGAGUGCUUCCCAAAUACCAUCAACACAUCACCUGUCCCACCAGAGAUCUAGACGUCCUUGACCAUUGCUACACAACCAUCAAAGACAUCCAUCCCCCGCCAACACUUUGGAAUAUCAGACCGUAAUGCUGUGCUCCUUCUCCCGGCUUGCAAGUAGAAACUGAAGUGUGAGGACCUGGUUCAGAAAGUCGUACAGUGCUGGUGUGAGGUAACGGACGAGCUGCUAUCUGACUAUUUAGAGUCAAUGGCCUGGUCCAUAUUCAAGAACUCAGCAGCCAACCUAAAUGAGUACGCCACUACCAUUACAGACUUUGUGAGUAAGUAUGUAGAAGACUGCAUGCCAAAGAAGUUAUUCCGAGUGUUUCCCAACUGGAAACCAUGCAUGAACUGGGAGAUCUGCUCCCAACUAAAGUCCAGUUUUGAGGUGUUCAAUUCGAGUGGCCCAGACCUAUAAAAGAAAUCCAGGUGUGACCAUGCAAAGCCAUCAGAGAUGCCAACUGACAAUAUCAGACUGAGCUAGAGUUCCAGACUAACCACGUGACCACUCAUCGUUUGUGGUAAGGCGGACACGACAUAAUGGGCUACAAAGCAAAGUUGAUUAGAAUCACUGGCAACAAUAAAUCCCUUCCCGAUGAGCUCGGUGCAUUCUAUGCUCGUUUUGAACAGAAGGUCAGUGAAACGAUGUCACUUGCCCUGGGUGCAUUCGUACCUACAGUCACUGCCGCAGACACCAGAUUGACGUUCUUGAGAGUGAACCCAUGGAAAGUAACUGGGCCUGCUGGAGUCCCUGGCUGUGCGGACCAUGUGGCAGGAGUAUUUGCAGACAUCUUUAACCUUUCCCACCUGCUUCAAGAAGACCACUAUUGUCCCUUUUCUACUUUUCUACUUUCUCUACCUUGUGACAACGUUGCCCAUAAAUGCAGCCUUCUUUGCUUGCAUUCAGUUUAGUAUACAUUUAGCACAUCUUUUCAGAACUUGUAUGAGAAAUCCCAUUCUUCCACAUUAUUAAAAGCUCAUGACUUUAAAAAAGUAAAAGUUUUUUUCCAUUUCUGUACAGCAGCUACCGCUUAACCUGCUCACGGCAAUCAUUCUUUCAGCAGCACAGUCCGACUGAUUGAAGAGAUCCGCAGUUACUGUCCUAUUCACUCAGGCUCCAGAUGCUGCUUUCCUUGCUACAGUAUUAUUAACUCAUAUUUUGGCUAUUUGCUGCCCAAAAACUGUGAAAACCUAAAAAUGCAAAUCUAACAAAUGGGAGAAGAAGUCAGAUAUACUGUUUAUAGUUAGAGCCCUUGUCUAUUUUGCUAGUUAUAUUUAUGACAAUGGGUCUGUCUUUGGCUUGACCAAAAGCCAGUCUCUGAUGAUUCAAUAAACUACCUGUCACACA